CCUACGGGAGGCUGCAGUGGGGAAUAUUGCACAAUGGGCGAAAGCCUGAUGCAGCAACGCCGCGUGGAGGAAGAAGGCCUUCGGGUUGUAAACUCUUGUCUUCUGGGACGAUAAUGACGGUACCAGAGGAGGAAGCCACGGCUAACUACGUGCCAGCAGCCGCGGUAAUACGUAGGUGGCGAGCGUUGUCCGGAUUUACUGGGCGUAAAGGAUGCGUAGGCGGAUAUUUAAGUGGGAUGUGAAAUACCCGGGCUUAACCUGGGUGCUGCAUUCCAAACUGGAUAUCUAGAGUGCAGGAGAGGAAAGCGGAAUUCCUAGUGUAGCGGUGAAAUGCGUAGAGAUUAGGAAGAACACCAGUGGCGAAGGCGGCUUUCUGGACUGUAACUGACGCUGAGGCAUGAAAGCGUGGGGAGCAAACAGGAUUAGAUACCCCGGUAGUC
rnacentral:rRNA from 1 species